GAGGUAAUUCCUACCAGCAAGGCGCGGCUUCCCAUCUGCUAGCCUAGUCGAAUAGAACACAGAAGUUAAGCGUGCUCGGGCUGGAGUAGUCCAAGGAUGGUGACCCGGUGGGAAGUUGCAUAUCUCA
rnacentral:rRNA from 1 species